GGGGCCUCGCUGCCGACGUCAAUGUUAUGCUAAAAAAUAAAAAUAAAAAAUGUAAUAGCGGAAAAGGUAAGAGUGAGACUGGUGGACUAUAUGUGCCGGGGAACUGACUUUUACCGACAAAAAGGGCCAUACCAGCGGGAUAAGGCGCGGGUAGAGCAGCAGUUGGGUGUCCUCCGCCGACAUGGUCAUGACCGCGAGCCUCUGAUGGGCCCGCUCAUCCGUCGACAGCUCGGUGCUGCCGGUCAGCGGGGCCGUUUUCAUCAGGCUGUUCAUGUAAACCGGGAAUACCUUCAUGGCGUCGGGCAGGAUCAGCUACACGGUCUCGCAGGAAGUGCUCCCCGUCCGUGUCCACCUGCGACACCGCCGCAACGUUAGCGGAACCGGCAGGCUCGCCGGAAGCCGGUCUGGAGCCUCACCUGGAAGUUGUUGUACUUGAAGACGGAGCCGCCGGUGUGCGACGGCACGUCGGCCAAGGUGGCCACGUCCACGUACUGGUUGGGGAACAGGAACAGCGUCACGCUGCAGCCCUGAGCCACGCAGUCCUUGGAGAGCUGCUCCUUGCCGGGAGCUUCGGCGGUGGGCAUGGACGAGUGGAAGAUGAAGAGCUUGCCGCUGCAUUCCGCUUCCUGGUGGGACGAGAGGACCAAACCCGCCCCCUGUCGGUGUGACGGUCUACGACGUCC